GAUGAAGAACGUAGCGAAAUGCGAUAAGUAAUGUGAAUUGCAGAAUUCAGUGAAUCAUCGAAUCUUUGAACGCACAUUGCGCCCGCCAGUAUUCUGGCGGGCAUGCCUGUUCGAGCGUCAUUACAACCAUCAAGCCCCAGGCUUGUGUUGGAGCCCUGCGGCUGCCGCAGCCUCCCAAAACCAGUGGCGGGCUCGCUAUCACACCGAGUGCAGUAGUUUACUCUUCGCUCAGGGCGUGUGGCGGGUGCUAGCCGUAAAACCCCCAACUUCUCAAGGUUGACCUCGGAUCAGGUAGGAAUACCCGCUGAACUUAAGCAUAUCAAUAAGCGGAGGA
rnacentral:misc_RNA from 1 species